UGUGCUGUGGGUCUUGGUGGUGAUAGAUUAGUGUGGGAUGCCAGCGCCAGAGUGCCUGUGGGGGAAGCUUGUACUGUCUGGCACUGCUUGGAUAUUCUCUCAUCUUUGAUAGAAACAACUGAAUUUGCGAACUUGUUUCCCACAAGAAAGGCUCUCAGUGUUCACAAGGGAACACAUUAGGGAUUGUCCUAAAGCCUCACGAUGGCAAGGGCAGUGGGGAAAGCCAAGUACCAGAUGAUUUCCUUGGAAUGCAACAAAUCUCGCAGUGCGAUAACAGCAACAAUAGCUUUCCCUCUGGCCUUUCCUCCAACCUCAGACCCGGCACCUCACAGGAUCUUCCUCUCUGGGCAAGUGCUUUGCACUAAGAGCAAAGCCAAAGUGAAGCAUAAUGAACUCUGGAGUGGAUGUGUCCAGAGGGACAGGUGGAGGGCCACAGGCUGAGCAGAAGAAGUGAGAAAUGCCUCCGUACCACCAGUGCUCUGCUUGCAUGUGGCUUCUCUCUAGGCAUGGUGAGACAGCUCUAGGCAUUGGGGAAACCUCCAGGCAAAAUGCUGAGCUCCCUCUGUCUACCUCAACCAUGAGUCUCCUUCUCAUUAAAAACAAAAUUAAAAAAAAAAAAAGACAGACUAGAUUAUCUACUCAGCUGCAGCUCAUGAAUUUGGAUGUCGCAAGGCCCAUAGGCAUCUGUAGAGGUCCACUGAUCACAGGUACAAGAAAGGCUUGGUGAAUCUUCAUUUCUUCUUCCUUUCUUCACUGCAUGAUUUUUCACCUCCACUUGCUCUGCCCUUGAAAAUGGUCAGUGAUGUUUCUGGGGAGUGUAGACCUGCCACCACACUGACAUCCAAUGUUGAGUGGAAAGUGUCGUCCUGUGACUGAUAGCUGCAGUUUGUCUGCAAACUGAAGUAAAAUAUCCCACUACAACAUUACACUCAGUUCCAAGUUUAGAAGUUAGGCCUUGGAGCGUGAGAGCUAGAAGCAUAACUUCAAAAAAUGCAAGCAUUUUUUACAUGAUUUACAUAUGAUUGUUGCAGCCCAUGUGUUAUUUAAACCUUUUUUCUAGGCUUAGAAGUUACACACAUUACCAGAAGGGCAUUGCAAGUGGUGGUGGUGCUGAUGGAGUGGAGGAAGAUGUUCUAUCCUAAUUAUUGCUCUGCAAAUGAGUCAGAAGAGCCUAGGGGGUAUUAUUUGUUAGAGGAACAGCCUGAAUAGGCUGAACUCCUGACUGCUGAAGGAAAGAUUUUCCUGUGGUUACCACAAGACAUUCAAACAGCCGUUCUCCUUGUGGUCUUUAAUCCUUACAUCCCAGAUGGUCUCAGGGUUACAUUAUCGACAAUGAUGAGAAUUAUUAUUCUUCAUCAUAGUACAAAACAAUAGGCUGGUCCCUGUCAUGAGCAGCGUAACAGUGUAAGGCAAAAGGCUGCCACAGGCAGAUGCAGCAGCAUGAAGUAGCCAUGACCAAUGCAAUGCAAUGUUCACCUUUGAACACUCUCCUCCACAGUGGAGCUGGUGCACUGUACAGCCUGUGAUCCACCCCAGAACCAGCUGCAUUUCAGCUGAAAGACAGAAGCUGCCUAUGAAACCACUACGCACAACCCUGGGGUUGAAACUCCCACUGACCGUAGCAUAGCUAUUACAGCUCAUGGUUCCCGAUAGCCAUGAUGGUGGGUUUUAGAUUAAUUUGCUGUCAUUUCAUCAUUUACACUAAAUGCCAUGGUUCUUUGAUAAACAUUUCAGGCCUUUUUCCAAACAAUUUUUCCAUUCGGAGCUGAUGAAAACAGGCUGUCAGCACUCCCAGUAGAAACACCCUGCUUGUGGCAACAGUUGCUGUCUGGCCUAGUGGUCUCCCUGGAGAAGGUCCAAGUGGGAAAGCAGUCUCAAGCCUCCACUCCUGGAGCUGAUGGAGUCUGGGAGGAAGGCGACCACUGUUUCAAGAAGACGAUGAUGCUCUUUCCCUCUGAAGGACUUAGAGGACAACACAGAGUGGGUUUUGGCAGCCUGGAGGCUGGAUUGGCACCAGCCAACUCAAAAAUGAGGAGGGGAGUGAUGGCAGCCCCUGGUGCUGGGGGAAAGAAACCAUUUUUUCAGGACAAAGUGUAAGUUGUCUUCCAGAUGUUGUCACUAGCUGACUUCAUCUGGUGAGCUCGCCAGCAUCUUCUCCCUCCUUCCAUUACAGAUCUGCUGAGAGGCACUGACCCCUGGGGACACAGGCCCUCUGGUUACUGGAGGCUUCCUCAUGGGGACUGUCCUCCAAGCACUAUUCCUGCAUACAUUGCGCAGAGCUCAAUGAAGAGUUCAUUCCAGUCUGAGAAAAGUCUGAACCUGGAGCCAAACAUUGCACCAGUAGAGGCCAUGUCUAUUUGUGAAAGUUCAUCAAGUCCAGAGUUACAGCCAAAUUGUGCUUUUGGAGACUACACCAUGCUAAGACAGGGUCCAUUGGACCUGCUGGGUCCAUGACUGACACCAAAAUUGGAAAGAUGUCCCUGAGAGGCAGGUGCAGACCUGGUAAGGCAUCUCAGCCUUAAGAAGACAAGCAUACCCCUUGCCUGGAUUUCUGCAUGGGUUCUGCCCAUAAAGAGCCCUGCAGCAUCUUUCAUCCGUGUCUCCAAAUUUUGUCCUUAGGAGCUGAGUUUAAUGUGGCAAUACUAAAAGGCAAAGCUUAGCUAAUCACAAAGCAGGAGGGAAAGGAUGACAAUCUGUAUGUUGAGUUAUGAGAGUCUGGCAGUUGCUUUUUAGAGUAUUUAUUAGGAUAUUGUCCAAAGAGUCCUUCACUGUUUAUGACACACCAUAAAUACCAUCUGUCUCCUCUCGCCUCCCAAAACAGUGAGCUGUUCUUUACUGCAAUGCUGUUUGCAGGUCAUCUUGAUAACCUGCCCCACAGGAGGAAGUGACAAAAAUAGAUCUCCCUGCUUAAAAAAAAUCUCUUUAUUUGCACUAAGCACUGAUAUUUUGCCUCUAUUGAUGUAAUCAAACACCACGGUGACAGCAUGUGAAAAGCCUAAAAUAAAGACUCCCUUAAUCUGGAAAUCAGCACCUGGAAGUGUGCGAUGGAGGAUAGCUGAAGUGGGAGAGAGCAGAGCUUGUAUCCAAUAUAGUGAGGCAUUGUUCAAGACAUCUAGCUUUGCUGAGGGCCAGUGACAUCGGUAGAAGAUAGUUGGCCUACAGAGAGAUGUGUAAAUAACAGGUUUUUUUCCUGGCUAUGGUCCCUUUUUUCAUCUGGACUUCCACUAUAGGUGUAUUUUGAGGUAUUUUGUUGGGCCUUUGUUGCUCUGCAGAGGCUUGUGUAUCUCCAGAAAUGUCAGAAGCAUCUGCAGUAUAUGCUUAAAUUAAUUGACAGAGUAUGAGGAGCUCUGCAUGAACUUCAUGAGUAUGACACAGUCACAGGGGUGUCUACAGAAGGCCUGAAGUUUCUGGGGAGCUAGUACACAUGAGCAUUAUACUGAAAGCAACUUGAACUGGGCAGCUUUUUUUUUUAAUCUGCCAUUGUCAGCAAGGUGUGCUCACUCAUAUAUGGCUCACAAACAUAACUUCGAUUCUAAAGCUUAUUGAGAUAGAAAGGAAAAACUAAGCAGAGAAUUCAUAGCUAACAGCAGCUCAUAUGUAGAAGGUGAAGUAACACCAGGCCAAAAAGAAGGUGCAAAUUUUUCAGGCAAAAGUAUGACUUAACCCUGAAGCAAUCAAAUUUUAGUUGAUGGUAAAACCUCCAGCAUGGGAAAUAUUUUGCUGAGGAUCAGGUAUUUUUUUUUCUGGCUGGUACACUGAAACAGAGCUGAAUUCAUGGAAAUCCUCAAGUUUCAGUGUUGCAGAACUAAACAAUUAGAAAUGUUCCUUCCAACUUUAUAAUUGGUGAAUUCAAGACCCUCCAAGAACAUCUACCUGGGAUCAUAAGGAAGGUCAGCAGUAGAAAGCUUAAGUAUCCAGUUAAAGGAAAUCAGCUCUUUAAUGUUAACUAAUGCCAGUGGACAGCUGACAAAUGAGGCUGUUUAAAUAACUAUUUGCUGUCAUUAUUCCAAAGUGAAGAACAAAUUGUUUUGAAAAAUGCAGAAAUACCUCACAACUGAUCAGAGCUGAGGAAAAAGACUGAAGAGGUCAGAUGACAUAUUGCGGACUAGUUUCCCUUCUCUGAAACUGUCUAAUCAGCUUGGCUUAAUUACAGAACACAGCCCCCUCUGAGCCAAGAGUGCAAUACAGAAAAAUCUGUGGGUAAUUUGGAUACAACUGUAAAAUAACAUCUCACAGAAAUCCCUGAUGUCCUUAUAUUGUUUGCAUGGGGACUAAGCUGUUCCAUACAGAUGAGUCCUUGUUUAGAUUGUUUGCUGCCAUACUCAAGAGAAGAUAUUGUGGUGGAAGGGCAGAAUGAACUAACAUACUCUAAACCAUUCCUUAGUCUCUUAGCUUCAUGUCACAGUAAGUAAUGAGUUUGGUACUACAUCAUGGCAAUGUUAUGACAGAAAGUAAAGCCCUUCUGACCUCGAAUUAAUCCUGUCUUCUCCGAGAGCUUUGUUUCAGGCUUCACUGGGGACACGUGUGUGUAACUUUAGAUGAUAUCUGAAGGCAUUUCAGAUGUUAGCCAAAAAUGUGCUUUAUAUUUAUGCUGAAUUUUUUUUCUCCUUUCCAUCCAAAAUAAUUUUGGGGAACAUGGGGAAAUCUCAGGUGGAAAAUCCCUUGAUAUCCCUUGAUUCCCAAACUUAAAAACAAUUAUUAAAAAUGCCGGUAUUGCAUAACCUGUGUCUGCUAAAAUGAAGUGAUCUGUAUUUAGGAUUAUUGUAGCCCUUAAACUAGAGGCAGAAAGUCAGGACAAUCACACAUUGCAGGAAAGAGCUGGCUAUUUCAGAUCAAAUAGAGGAGAAGAACAAGCUAGUUUAUGCAUCUAGAUCAUAGAAAUCAGACACUAAAGAACCCUGUGGGGUAUUUAGACCAAGCACAUGUCAUGUUGAUGUCUGUGGAAAAGUUCCCAUGCUGAUUCAUAGAAGAAAAAUGUCCUGUUCCCUGUUGGUCUACAAAGUAUCCUCAGACCACUGUUAGCCAAUUUCUGUCAAUUCAUCUUCUUUUCCACCUGAACUGUUUGUUUCUCUCAGGAUGCCUGUGACAUUGCUCCAUUAUCUGGCCAGUGAAGAGUUAAUGUCUCAUUUAUUUUAAUUUUUGAUCCAUCUAGUUCCAAAUUUGAGUGAAGCAGGAUGCUCAGGGGAGAGUUUAUUUACAUACUACAGGACAAUCCAUGCAUUCAGGUUUCUAAGGCCAGGAAAAAAUUAGAGUAGGACUAGAAACUUCUUGAGUUCCUCCUCAUAGGAUUAAUGCACCUGUCUUCUCAGCUGGCAGAGAAGGGCAGACCUUGAUGACGCUCCUCACGUUUUCUAAGCUUUCUGCAUUAUGGCAGGCAGAAAUUGAGAAGAACCCUAUGCUUAUGGGGCAAGAAGAUCUCUGCUUGAAAGUGGGAGACAAGGAUUUAAUGCUGAGCAGCAGCGAGGCCACAGCUGUAUCCAGGAAUGGUUAGGUGCUUCAGGGCAGGGCUGGAGCAAGUAGGUAGUUUCCCCAGUAUCCUAUAGAAGAAGUGGGCCAGGCUGUUGACCUGUUUUCUUAUUUGAUUGGGGGUGGGAAAGAGGUAUUGCUCUUUGUGUUCUGAAAAAAAAAAAAAAAAAAAAAAAUUUGGACUUAGAAUGAAGACCAAGCUGGAGAAAAACUUUGAACCUUUAUUGUUGUGUGGGAACCCUUAAGUGUCUCCUCUGUUCAGCAGUUCUGACCAAGUGCAUUUCUGUAGAGAUAAUGAAGCAGCAAUACACGGCAAUACAAGGAGUCAUAAGACAAGUAGAAAGUUGUAUUUAUUUUCUUGUAGUAUGGAUAAUCAGAAAAGGAGAUAUUUGAGUCCCACAGUGGUAAGUUCAGUUAGAAAAAUCCCCUGAAGCUAUGUGAACUGAGAACAUCUCAGUUCCUCUCUCUGAGGAACCCCUACCUUCCAUGCUCUUGGUUGUCUUCAGAUUCCUCACGUAAGUGUAAGAAGAGAAGCAUAAAUUUCAACAAGGGGUGGUUGUUUGCCUGUUUCUUGCCCCACCCCGCUUUGAGUCUGUUUUAUAUGUGCUCUUAUCUGUUGGUUGCUUGGAACAGUUGAUUUCUUGCAAGCUAUUCAAAUGUUGUUGCUGUGUUAGAUGGCUUGGCCUGAAGUGUUUGAUCCUGUGGGUUCAGCUCUAUCUCACCUCAGGCAGAUAAAUUGGGAUCCUGCUAGCUUUCAGCUCCCUCUACAGUUAACAGAAAGAGAAACCACCUGAGGGUUACACAGGUCACUUGGGGCACAGCCAGAAUGCCCUGGUCUUUGUGGACUGAAUGGGGAGCUCAUUUUGUCUGUGCUGCUAACCUAGGCAGCUCAGUUACCAGCUCUAAUUUAGGGAAAUCAGUAUGUAAGGGGUGUAAAUGAGCAGGGAAUAGCUGAGAGAGGAGUACUUCUCUUAGAGCAAUGAGAUGCCCUGAGGAGAGACUGCAAAAGGAUUUGUGCAGUUGCUCAGAGCUCAAGAAGAAGGAGAAGAUUUUCAGAUGCCUUGGUUCCGUUGCUGCAAGAUGUGAGGCAGAAAGUGGAGCCACCUGUGAACAUGAGGAGACAAAAUAGGUAUCUUUUCCCCGUGGUUCAACAAAAAGGCAUGACGUGAACCAAGCAGCAGGGGCAUAGACUGAAGGAGGGUGAGAAAUUACUGGGAUUUCUGAAGGUUUACCUGGGUCACUGUGGCUACAUUCCUUUCACCUCCUGGCAUCUAAAUAUGAAUUGCAAAUAAAUAUCAUUGGCCUCGCACUACAAAAAAAUGGAGUCAUGAGUGGGGAUGCUGCACUCAGCUGGAGUAUGGGAACGGGACGAGACUGGGCAUAUUGCCCCAAUCCACGUAAGAAAUCGGCAAUAAUACCAGACAUGGAACCCCUGCCUUUGCUUUAUUCCCACUACUGCUUCUCCAGCCCCAUCCUUCCUUAACAGAACGCUGCUUUCUGAAACCUAAUAAAAAGAAAGAAGGUUACAUUA